GCCCGGGUGGCGGAACUGGUAUACGCAAAGGACUUAAAAUCCUUGGCCCAUUUUCGGGCUUGUGGGUUCAAAUCCCACCCCGGGCA
rnacentral:tRNA from 1 species